AACGAACGCUGGCGGCAUGCCUAACACAUGCAAGUCGAACGAGACCUUCGGGUCGAGUGGCGCACGGGUGCGUAACGCGUGGGAACCUGCCCUUAGGUUCGGAAUAACUCCCCGUAAGGGGUGCUAAUGCCGGAUAAUGUCGUCGGACCCAAGUAUUGUCGCCUUUGGGUGGGCCCGCGUUGGAUUAGCUAGUUGGUAGGGUAAAAGCCUACCAAGGCGACGAUCCAUAGCUGGUCUGAGAGGCUGAUCAGCCACCCUGGGACUGACACACGGCACAGACUGCGACGAGAGGCCGCAGUGGGGAAUAUUGGACCAGGGGCGAAAGCCGGAUCCAGCAGUGCCGCGGGAGGGGUGCAGGCCUUAGGGUUGUAAAGCUCUUUUCCCCGGGAUGAGAAUGAGAGGACGGUGAGAAUACGCUGCGGCUCUAUGCG
rnacentral:rRNA from 1 species